rnacentral:rRNA from 1 species
UACGAAGGGGGCGAGCGUUGUUCGGAAUUACUGGGCGUAAAGGGCGCGUAGGCGGCCCCUUUUGUCGCGUGUGAAAGCCCCGGGCUCAACCUGGGAACGGCGCGCGAAACGGGGGGGCUUGAGUUCGGGAGAGGAGAGUGGAAUUCCCAGUGUAGAGGUGAAAUUCGUAGAUAUUCGCAAGAACACCAGUGGCGAAGGCGGCUCACUGGCCCGGUACUGACGCUGAGGUGCGAAAGCGUGGGGAGCAAACAGG